UACGUAGGGUGCAAGCGUUAAUCGGAAUUACUGGGCGUAAAGCGUGCGCAGGCGGUUCUAUAAGACAGAUGUGAAAUCCCCGGGCUCAACCUGGGAACUGCAUUUGUGACUGUAGAGCUGGAGUACGGCAGAGGGGGAUGGAAUUCCGGCGUGGUAAGCAGUGAAAUGCGUAGAUAUGCGGAGGAACACCGAUGGCGGAAG
rnacentral:rRNA from 1 species